UCCACGCCGUAAACGAUGCACACUAGGUCGCGGUACCUCUCAUGGUUUCGCGGCCGAAGGUAAACUGAUUAGUGUGCCGCCUGGGGAGUACGGUCGCAAGGCUAAAACUCAAAGGAAUUGACGGGGGCUCACACAAGCGAUGGAGCAUGUUGCUUAAUUCGAGGCAACGCGAAGAACCUUACCUAGACUUGACAUGUAUGGAUUAGCUCCUGGAAACAGGAGUGACGCCCUUG
rnacentral:rRNA from 1 species